rnacentral:misc_RNA from 1 species
AAGACUAUAGACCUGCGGAGUACCUGCGGAAGGAUCAUUACAGUGCUCGUCGGGACGCCCCGCCUCCAAGCGUGCGGCGCCCCGCACCUGCCCCACCCGUGUCUACCUUUUCCACUGUUGCUUCGGCGGGCCCGUCGACGUACCCACGCCACCCCGGCGUGCGGUACGAGUGAGACGGACCGGGGGUCCCCGCCGCGUACCGACGCGGCGCCCCCUGGCCAGCGCCCGUCAGAGGACCCU